CACCGGCGAACGGGUGCGUAACACGUGAGCGACCUACCGAUGUGCGGGGGAUAGCCGGCCCAACGGCCGGGUAAUACCGCAUACGCUUGGCUUGGGGCAUCCUGGGCCAAGGAAACCUGUGGGGCAGAUCGAGGGGCUCGCGGCCUAUCAGCUAGUUGGCGGGGUAACGGCCCACCAAGGCGAUGACGGGUAGCUGGUCUGAGAGGAUGGCCAGCCACAUUGGGACUGAGAGACGGCCCAGACUCCUACGGGAGGCAGCAGUGGGGAAUCUUGCGCAAUGGCCGAAAGGCUGACGCAGCGACGCCGCGUGGAGGAUGAAGCUUUUCGGAGUGUAAACUCCUGUUGCCCGGGACGAAUGCCCUCUUUGGGGGGAGUGACGGUACCGGGUGAGGAAGCACCGGCUAACUCUGUGCCAGCAGCCGCGGUAAUACAGAGGGUGCGAGCGUUGUCCGGAAUCACUGGGCGUAAAGGGCGCGUAGGCGGUGAUCUAAGCGUGCGGUGAAAGCUCGGGGCUCAACCCUGAGUCGGCCGUGCGAACUGGGUCACUGGAGCACGGUAGAGGCCAAUGGAAUUCCGGGUGUAGCGGUGGAAUGCGUAGAGAUCCGGAAGAACACCGGUGGCGAAGGCGGUUGGCUGGGCCGUUGC
rnacentral:rRNA from 1 species